rnacentral:tRNA from 2 species
GCCCUAGUAGCUUAACUUCAAAGCAUUGGUCUUGUAAACCAAAGACUGAAAACUGACAAUCUUCUUAGAGCU